GGUAACCCAGGGUCGAUGAAACCGACGAUUUGUGGGCAGCACUUCGAGAGAUCGUGUUUCGAACAAUCAACAAUGCUUGCUAAGGAGAGAGAGUAAAAGCUUUCUCGAAGGCUUUGCAUUUGAACUCCUAUGACUGGUUGCGGACUUGAAGGGAACGACUUCCUGGCCUUCCUGACAUCCAGGAAAAAGAAAGGAUCAUGCCAGCUCACAUCAAACACCUGAUCAAGAACUUGUGAAUCUUCAGGCAGAAAAGACGAAAACACCUGUUCAAAGUUCCAGUUCCCUGUACAUCGAACCAUGCCUGUCCUCUGUUCCACAUGUCUUCAGUCAGUUCUGGAUCCCAUGACUCGGACACUAGUUCUACCAAGGCUCAUUAGAGUUUGCUUGAAGAAGUGGCUUCAACAGACAGAAAUGCAGGCCAGAUUGGGAAAGGCUGGACGACACAGCGGGAAACAUUAUGGACAUGAACAAGGAAAAACAAAAACACUUUCUUUGUUGCCUUUUUCUU